AUGGCGCCGGCGGAAGGGGAAAGGCAUCAGCCACUGGCCAUGGCGGCGUCGAGACUGGAGCUGAACCUGGUGAGGCUGCUGUGCCGCUGCGAAGCAAUGGCAGCGGAGAAGCGGGACCCGGAAGAAUGGCGCCUAGAGAAGUACGUGGGGGCCCUGGAGGACAUGCUGCAGGCGCUGAAAACCCAAGCUAGCAAACCGGCCUCGGAGGUGAUCAACGAAUACUCCCGCAAGGUGGAUUUCCUCAAGGGGAUGCUGCAGGCAGAGAAGCUGGCCUCCUCCUCAGAGAAGGCACUCGCCAACCAGUUCCUGGCCCCUGGCCGCGUGCCCACCACAGCCAGGGAGCGGGUGCCCGCCACCAAGACCGUACAUCUGCAGUCACGGGCUCGGUACACCAGCGAGAUGCGGAGUGAGCUGCUGGGCACGGACUCUGCCAGAGAGUUGGAGCUGGACGUGAGGAAGCGAACUGGGGUGACAGGGUCCAGGCCGGCAGACGAGAAGCAGUCAGCAGCUGAGCUGGACCUCGUCCUACAACGACACCAGGACCUCCAGGAAAAGUUGGCCGAGGAGAUGCUCGGCCUAGCCCGCAGCCUCAAGACCAACACACUGGCCGCCCAGAGCGUCAUCAAGAAGGACAACCAGACCCUGUCACACUCACUCAAGAUGGCCGACCAGAGCCUAGAGAAGCUGAAGACGGAGUCGGAGCGGCUGGAGCAGCACGCACAGAAGUCGGUCAACUGGCUGCUGUGGAUCAUGCUCAUCGUGGUCUGUUUCAUCUUCAUCAGCAUGAUUCUCUUCAUACGCGUCAUGCCCAAGCUCAAAUAAAGCCUGUGCCCUCCGACCUCUGACCUCUGACCUCCAACCCCCGCCUCCCACCGCUCUGCCCAUCUCCCCCCUCAAGGUGGGGAACAAGAUGCAGGGUCUUUGGGGGCCUCCAGGAGCGGGGGAGGGUGAAGGGGGACUUUGGGGUCAGUGACAGCAAGCAUGACCCGUUCCAUCCUGGCAUCUGCCCCACCUGGGACAAGGCCAGGCCCAAGAGCCCCACAAGAAGACAAGCGUGUGACACACGUCUGUAAUCCCAGCACUCCAGAAGCAGAGGCGGGAGGAUGGUGGUACAGGCUCCACAGGAUGGUCACUCAGGACACACAGGUCCUGCCGGGCACAGUGAUGCACACCUGUAAUCCCCGCACUUGGAUGAGGAGCAGAGGCCAGCCUGGACUGC